rnacentral:rRNA from 1 species
UGGGGAAUUUUGGACAAUGGGCGAAAGCCUGAUCCAGCAAUGCCGCGUGUGUGAAGAAGGCCUUCGGGUUGUAAAGCACUUUUGUCCGGAAAGAAAUCCUUGGCUCUAAUACAGUCGGGGGAUGACGGUACCGGAAGAAUAAGCACCGGCUAACUACGUGCCAGCAGCCGCGGUAAUACGUAGGGUGCAAGCGUUAAUCGGAAUUACUGGGCGUAAAGCGUGCGCAGGCGGUUUGCUAAGACCGAUGUGAAAUCCCCGGGCUCAACCUGGGAACUGCAUUGGUGACUGGCAGGCUAGAGUAUGGCAGAGGGGGGUAGAAUUCCACGUGUAGCAGUGAAAUGCGUAGAGAUGUGGAGGAAUACCGAUGGCGAAGGCAGCCCCCUGGGCCAAUACUGACGCUCAUGCACGAAAGCGUGGGGAGCAAACAGGAUUAGAUACCCUGGUAGUCCACGCCCUAAACGAUGUCAACUAGUUGUUGGGGAUUCAUUUCCUUAGUAACGUAGCUAACGCGUGAAGUUGACCGCCUGGGGAGUACGGUCGCAAGAUUAAAGCUCAAAUGAAUUGACGGGGUCAUAGCUGUUUCCU